AUUCUAAUUAAAGUGCACAUCUAAGGAGGCUGGGCUGUGUAUCAAUCAACCAUCAACAACUAGAUUUCAAGCAUGCAUCCAUAUGCAAAAAGAAUCAAAAUGUACCAAAGAAUAUUCCAGAAUAGGACAGGCCCUCAUCAUUUACGUGGCGGCAAGGCGGAUCUCCUUUUGUAUCGAUCAGCUGUGGGGGCCUGCUUCUUUGGUCUAGCUGCAGUCUCUUAUACUUUCUAUCUAAUGGCGACCAAUCAGAUGCCAAAGAACUCUUGAAAGAACACUCAAUAGUAGAUGUACAGUUUAUCAAUGCAUUAGGAUUGAUUUGUUAUUAGUGUUAGAAAAUGAUAUUUUUAAAAGAAA